rnacentral:rRNA from 1 species
UACGUAGGGGGCGAGCGUUAUCCGGAAUUACUGGGCGUAAAGCGCACGCAGGCGGUUCGCCAAGUUUGGAGUGACAGUUGUCGGCUCAACCGACAAAGGACUUCAAAAACUGGUGAACUUGAGGACGAGAGAGGAACAUGGAACUCCAGGUGUAGUAGUGAAAUGCGUAGAUAUCUGGAAGAACACCAACGGCGAAGGCAAUGUUCUGGCUCGUUUCUGACGCUCAGGUGCGAAAGCCAGGGGAGCGAACGGG